UGGGGAUAGAGGGAAUCGAACCCUCACGGCCAAAGCCAACGGAUUUU
rnacentral:tRNA from 1 species